rnacentral:rRNA from 1 species
UAAGAGACAGCAGUCGCCACGGUAAUACAGAGGGUGCGAGCGUUAAUCGGAUUUACUGGGCGUAAAGCGUGCGUAGGCGGCUAAUUGAGUCGGAUGUGAAAUCCCCGAGCUUAACUUGGGAAUUGCAUUCGAUACUGGUUAGCUAGAGUGUGGGAGAGGAUGGUAGAAUUCCAGGUGUAGCGGUGAAAUGCGUAGAGAUCUGGAGGAAUACCGAUGGCGAAGGCAGCCAUCUGGCCUAACACUGACGCUGAGGUACGAAAGCAUGGGGAGCAAACAGGAUUAGACCCGCGUAGUCCCUGUCUCUUAUACAC